UACGUAGGGUGCGAGCGUUGUCCGGAAUUACUGGGCGUAAAGAGUUCGUAGGCGGUUUGUCGCGUCGUUCGUGAAAACUUGGGGCUUAACUCCAAGCGUGCGGGCGAUACGGGCAGACUUGAGUACUACAGGGGAGACUGGAAUUCCUGGUGUAGCGGUGAAAUGCGCAGAUAUCAGGAGGAACACCGGUGGCGAAGGCGGGUCUCUGGGACGGUACUGACGCUGAGACGCGAAAGCGUGGGGAGCGAACAGG
rnacentral:rRNA from 1 species